ACGAACGCUGGCGGCGUGCUUAACACAUGCAAGUCGAACGGUGAAGCGCCUUCCUUUUUGGUGGGUGUGGAUGAGUGGCGAACGGGUGAGUAACACGUGAGUAACCUGCCCCCUUCUUCUGGAUAACCGCAUGAAAGUGUGGCUAAUACGGGAUAUUCUGGGUCUGUCGCAUGAUGGGUCUGGGAAAGAUAUUGUUUCGGUGGGGGAUGGGCUCGCGGCCUAUCAGCUUGUUGGUGGGGUGAUGGCCUACCAAGGCGGUGACGGGUAGCCGGCCUGAGAGGGUGGACGGUCACACUGGGACUGAGACACGGCCCAGACUCCUACGGGAGGCAGCAGUGGGGAAUAGUGCACAAUGGGCGCAAGCCUGAUGCAGCGACGCCGCGUGAGGGAUGGAGGCCUUCGGGUUGUGAACCUCUUUCGCCAGUGAAGCAGACCUGCCUCGUUUGUGGGUGGGUUGACGGUAGCUGGAUAAGAAGCGCCGGCUAACUACGUG
rnacentral:rRNA from 1 species